UACGGGGUGCAGCAGGCGCGAAAACUUUACAAUGCGGGAANCCGUGAUAAGGGGACACCGAGUGCUAGCAUCAUAUGCUGGCUGUCCAGGUGUGUAAAAUACACCUGUUAGCAAGGGCCGGGCAAGACCGGUGCCAGCCGCCGCGGUAACACCGGCGGCCCGAGUGGUGAUCGUGAUUAUUGGGUCUAAAGGGUCCGUAGCCGGUUUGGUCAGUCCUCCGGGAAAUCUGAUAGCUUAACUAUUAGGCUUUCGGGGGAUACUGCCAGACUUGGAACCGGGAGAGGUAAGAGGUACUACAGGGGUAGGAGUGAAAUCUUGUAAUCCCUGUGGGACCACCUGUGGCGAAGGCGUCUUACCAGAACGGGUUCGACGGUGAGGGACGAAAGCUGGGGGCACGAACCGGAUUAGAUACCCGGGUAGUCCCAGCCGUAAACGAUGCUCGCUAGGUGUCAGGCAUGGCGCGACCGUGUCUGGUGCCGCAGGGAAGCCGUGAAGCGAGCCACCUGGGAAGUACGGCCGCAAGGCUGAAACUUAAAGGAAUUGGCGGGGGAGCACAACAACGGGUGGAGCCUGCGGUUUAAUUGGACUCAACGCCGGACAACUCACCGGGGACGACAGCAAAAUGUAGGCCAGGCUGAAGACCUUGCCUGAAUCGCUGAGAGGAGGUGCAUGGCCGUCGCCAGUUCGUACUGUGAAGCAUCCUGUUAAGUCAGGCAACGAGCGAGACCCAA
rnacentral:rRNA from 1 species